ensembl:lncRNA
GAGUGUUAGUGUUAUAUUCUUACAUUAAGAUUACCUCAGUGUUAGUGUUUUAUUCUACAUUAGAGAUUACCUCAGUGCUGUUAGUGUUUUAUACAUUAGAGAUUACCUCAGAGUGUUAGUGUUUUAUUCUACAUUAGAGAUUACCUCAGUGUUAGUGUUUUAUUCUACAUUAGAGAUUACCUCAUGUUUAGUUAAUUUCUACAUUAGAAAUUACCUCAGUGUUAGUGUUGAGUGUUAGUGUUUUAUUCUACAUUAGAGAUUACCUCAGAGUGUUAGUGUUUUAUUCUACAUUAGAGAUUACCUCAGAGUGUUAGUGUUUAUUCUACAUUAG